CCUACGGGAGGCAGCAGUGGGGAAUAUUGCACAAUGGGCGAAAGCCUGAUGCAGCGACGCCGCGUGAGGGAUGAAGGCCUUCGGGUUGUAAACCUCUUUCAGCAGGGAAGAAGCGCAAGUGACGGUACCUGCAGAAGAAGCGCCGGCUAACUACGUGCCAGCAGCCGCGGUAAUACGUAGGGCGCAAGCGUUGUCCGGAUUUAUUGGGCGUAAAGAGCUCGUAGGCGGUCUGUCGCGUCUGCUGUGAAAACCUGGGGCUUAACCCCGGGCCUGCAGUGGGUACGGGCAGACUAGAGUGCGGUAGGGGAGACUGGAAUUCCUGGUGUAGCGGUGAAAUGCGCAGAUAUCAGGAGGAACACCGGUGGCGAAGGCGGGUCUCUGGGCCGUAACUGACGCUGAGGAGCGAAAGCGUGGGUAGCAAACAGGAUUAGAUACCCUUGUAGUC
rnacentral:rRNA from 1 species